rnacentral:rRNA from 1 species
GCCUACGGGGGGCAGCAGUGGGGAAUAUUGCACAAUGGGGGAAACCCUGAUGCAGCGACGCCGCGUGAGUGAAGAAGUAAUUCGUUAUGUAAAGCUCUAUCAGCAGGGAAGAAAAUGACGGUACCUGAGUAAGAAGCCCCGGCUAACUACGUGCCAGCAGCCGCGGUAAUACGUAGGGGGCAAGCGUUAUCCGGAUUUACUGGGUGUAAAGGGAGCGUAGGUGGCAGGGCAAGUCAGAUGUGAAAACCCGGGGCUCAACCCCGGGAGUGCAUUUGAAACUGUCCAGCUGGCGUGCAGGCGAGGUU